UGGGGAAUAUUGCACAAUGGAGGGAACUCUGAUGCAGCGACGCCGCGCGAGUGAUGAAGGAAUUCGUUUCGUAAAACUCUGUUCUAUGGGAAGAAAAGGACUGUACCAUAGGAGAAAGCUCCGGCUAAAUACGUGCUAGCAGCCGCGGUAAUACGUAUGGAGCGAGCGUUGUCCGGAAUUAUUGGGCGUAAAGGGUGCGCAGGCGGCUUUACAAGUUGGAUGUGAAAUAUUGUGGCUCAACCACAAACGUGCAUCCAAAACUGCAAAGCUUGAGUUAAGGAGAGGUAAGUGGAAUUCCUGGUGUAGCGGUGGAAUGCGUAGAUAUCAGGAGGAAUACCGGUAGCGAAGGCGACUUACUGGACUUAAACUGACGCUCAGGCACGAAAGCGUGGGGAGCAAACAGG
rnacentral:rRNA from 1 species